rnacentral:rRNA from 1 species
UACGGAAGGCAGCAGUGGGGAAUAUUGCACAAUGGGCGCAAGCCUGAUGCAGCCAUGCCGCGUGUAUGAAAAAGGCCUUCGGGUUGUAAAGUACUUUCAGUCGUGAGGAAGGUGUUAAGGUUAAUAACCUUAGCAAUUGACGUUAGCGACAGAAGAAGCACCGGCUAACUCCGUGCCAGCAGCCGCGGUAAUACGGAGGGUGCGAGCGUUAAUCGGAAUUACUGGGCGUAAAGGGCACGCAGGCGGUUAAUUAAGUUGGAUGUGAAAUCCCCGGGCUUAACCUGGGAAUGGCAUUCAAGACUGGUUAGCUAGAGUCUUGUAGAGGGGGUAGAAUUCCAUGUGUAGCGGUGAAAUGCGUAGAGAUGUGGAGGAAUACCGGUGGCGAAGGCGGCCCCUGGACAAAGACUGACGCUCAUGUGCGAAAGCGUGGGGAGCAAACGAGGAUUAGAUACC